rnacentral:lncRNA from 1 species
GUAUGAUGCCUGUUACUAGCAUUCACAUGGAACAAAUUGCUGCCGUGGGAGGAUGACAAAGAAGCAUGAGUCACCCUGCUGGAUAAACUUAGACUUCAGGCUUUAUCAUUUUUCAAUCUGUUAAUCAUAAUCUGGUCACUGGGAUGUUCAACCUUAAACUAAGUUUUGAAAGUAAGGUUAUUUAAAAGAUUUAUCAGUAGUAUCCUAAAUGCAAACAUUUUCAUUUAAAUGUCAAGCCCAUGUUUGUUUUUAUCAUUAACAGAAAAUAUAUUCAUGUCAUUCUUAAUUGCAGGUUUUGGCUUGUUCAUUAUAAUGUUCAUAAACACCUUUGAUUCAACUGUUAGAAAUGUGGGCUAAACACAAAUUUCUAUAAUAUUUUUGUAGUUAAAAAUUAGAAGGACUACUAACCUCCAGUUAUAUCAUGGAUUGUCUGGCAACGUUUUUUAAAAGAUUUAGAAACUGGUACUUUCCCCCAGGUAACGAUUUUCUGUUCAGGCAACUUCAGUUUAAAAUUAAUACUUUUAUUUGACUCUUAAAGGGAAACUGAAAGGCUAUGAAGCUGAAUUUUUUUAAUGAAAUAUUUUUAACAGUUAGCAGGGUAAAUAACAUCUGACAGCUAAUGAGAUAUUUUUUCCAUACAAGAUAAAAAGAUUUAAUCAAAAAAUUUCAUAUUUGAAAUGAAGUCCCAAAUCUAGGUUCAAGUUCAAUAGCUUAGCCACAUAAUACGGUUGUGCGAGCAGAGAAUCUACCUUUCCACUUCUAAGCCUGUUUCUUCCUCCAUAUGGGGAUAAUACUUUACAAGGUUGUUGUGAGGCUUAGAUGAGAUAGAGAAUUAUUCCAUAAGAUAAUCAAGUGCUACAUUAAUGUUAUAGUUAGAUUAAUCCAAGAACUAGUCACCCUACUUUAUUAGAGAAGAGAAAAGCUAAUGAUUUGAUUUGCAGAAUAUUUAAGGUUUGGAUUUCUAUGCAGUUUUUCUAAAUAACCAUCACUUACAAAUAUGUAACCAAACGUAAUUGUUAGUAUAUUUAAUGUAAACUUGUUUUAACAACUCUUCUCAACAUUUUGUCCAGGUUAUUCACUGUAACCAAAUAAAUCUCAUGAGUCUUUAGUUGAUUUAAAA